rnacentral:rRNA from 1 species
CAAUGGGCGCAACCCUGAUGGAGCGACACCGCGUGCAGGAUGACGGCCUUCGGGUCGUAAACUGCUUUUCUGGGGGGAUAAUUCUGAAGGUACCCUAGGAAUAAGCACCGGCUAACUCGCGUGCCAGCAGCCGCGGUAAUACGGAGGGUGCAGACGUUACCCGGAAUCAUUGGGCGUAAAGCGUCCGCAGGCGGCAUAAUAAGUCAGAUGAUUAAAUCCUGAGGCUCAACUUUGGGGCUGUGUUUGAAACUAUUAUGCUAGAGUCUUUCAGAGGCGAGUGGAAUUGUCUCAU